CAUGUGGUUCAUAGUUUCUGGUAAUGUUUGCAGGUCAGCGCAUGUUUAUUAUUCAUCCCCUUAUGGUCAUGUGGUUCAUAGUUUCUGGGUAGAAAAUAAGAAAGAUUCCAUGUGGCCUCUCUGGUUUCAGCCGGUAAUAUUUGAUCUGAGUGUUAAGAGAACAUUCAGUUGUGAAAACCGAUUCUCCUGAUUCUAGAUGGCAUCCAUGCUUAACAGGU